UAUCCGUGUCGUCUUAGGACUGUUUACGUUGUCGGCCAUCUUUUAGUUAGGUAGAAAGUUUCUCUUGCUGUUAACGAAGUGUGUGUUGUGAGUGAAAAAUUGUUAUUUUUUGUUCCACAUAUAACUGUACGAACUUGUGGAGCAAAGAAAGUGAUUUAACUUUCCACAGGUUUCCUCUAGAAAAAGACGAUUUGCUGAAACAGUAGGUAAUUGCCACUAAACGCAAAGGUUUCACUCCUACAAGGGCUAGUUUCUUGUGUGGAGAUAACGUUUUGUAAGAAGAUUAUUUAGUAAGGCCUGGUACUUCGAAUGGCAACUCAAACCUGAUGCAGUGCCAUCACAGUUUGCGUUUCCAACGCAUUUAAUGCCCAAGGAAAAGCAACCAAGGCGACAGAUUAGAAUAACAACUGAACAGUCUACUAUACAAACUCACGAUUAUAUUGAACAGCUUUCUCUGAGUUGCAAACAUCUAAGGAAUGUGGAUCUCAAACACAAAUAGAAAUGAUUGACAAGGCUACUGCCAUAUGCAAUUUUUUAUCAGAUGUGGACGCACUGAGAAGAAAAAUCAAGAGCCUGGAGGAAAUAAUUAGGAGAAGAGAAAAGAAAAACUGUUCAAUGAAAGACAUCAUAAGUGCUCUGAAAGAGAAGGUUCAUCUAACAGUGAAGCUGCAUGAAUUCCUGAAUCAACGAACAGGGACUCAGGGGGAAUUAGUGUGCAAUUUAUUGAAUAAUUCAGUGUCAUCCAAGGGAAACAGGUACAAAACAGACAUUAAAAUGUUUGCAAUGACGGUGUAUUUUUACUCUCCUAAUGUGUAUGAAUGUUUAGACAUUAAUGCCUCUGCCUCACAAAUCUGAUUCCUUGUUGGGUAGGGACCGUUAAUUGUGAUCCUGGCCUUUUAAGUGAUGUGUUCGGGUACUUUGAGUUUAACCAUCAAGUGAGAACUGAAUUUAAAGGUUUUAGCCUCAUAAUAGACAGUGUGGCAAUUAGAAAACAGGUAGUAUUGGACCAGGAAACUAAGAGGUAUACAGGUUUUGCAGAUUUUGGAGGAGAAGUUGAAAAAUCAAAAGAAGUGAAAGAAACUUCAGAGGCAUUAAUUUUUAUGCUUGUGUCCAUAAAAGGUAAAUUAAAGUGUCCCAUAUUUUUAGUGAAUGGAUUUGAUAUUAGUGUGCAGGCAAAGGUAAUAAACUCUGUUCUGGAGAGGCUAUGCAGUUCAGGCAUCAGGAUUUGGGCAGUCACUUGUGAUGGCACAAGGAGAAAUAUAAGUACUCUUCAUUUAUUGGAAUGCAGUAUUUAUUUUCAUCAAAAUUUUUUUCUUCUAAGUUCCUUUACCCAGUUUCAAACCACAAUGUUCACUGCAUUUUGGAUAUGUGUCUUUAGUGGCAGUACUUAAAGGAACUAAAUGAGUUGCAAAUUGAGGAAGGCAUGACAUUUGCUAACAAGUUACCAGGACAACAUAUUAAUUACAUUAAUAAAAACGUGAAUGUCUGGUUAGCAGUUAAAACACUUUCAGUUCUAGUGUUGCAGAUGCUAUAGAUAUUUUGAGAAGAGCUGGCAAUCCAAGUUUUCCCAAGAUCAUAUUGAACUCUUCUUCUCAUGUGUGAGGAUCCAGAGGGGGUUGGAUGAAUAACCCAAAUUCAUAUCAGUUGAAGUGUGCUAUGCAUAAGUUGCUUUUAGGCAGUAAUGUUAGCACUGUUGGGGGAAACUGUACAAAUUUUAACAUGUGUUUAAUGGUACCUGUGGGACUGAGUGAUUUCUGAUCACAAAAGCGUCCUCUUAUAGAUGAUGAUGAUGAUUCUUUUAUGUUUGUAGAUGAAGUAGAAAAAUGGUGCUCAUCUAUUGAAGAGGGUACUCCGUUUUCUACAUACAAGUAGAACAUUUUGUACUACACUGCAGGAUAUGUUGCCCUCACAAUUUCAAAACAAGUUACAUGUAAGAAGUGCCUCUACAUUCUUAGGCCACCUGUCGUUUGUAAUGCCGUAAUGUAAGCACUUCUCAGUACUGCAGAAAAGAGCUCAUUCACGAAAUUUGUAAGCCAAGGUAAGCUUAUUGAAACAAGUAGUCCUUGUAUACUCUGUGGUGGAGCGCUCAGAAAAAUUGUUUCAAAUGUUUGUUGUCAAUGGUGACAUGAGGCAAAAGCACUUAAUUACUAAGAUUGUCAUGUGUGUCCUUAAGAUUUAUGAACUAUUCAUUCCCUCAACUUGACCAUGACUUCCAUAAUGGAUGCGGAGUUGAAGAUUUGCAUGAGACACGGCUUGCGCGUAAGAUAGCAUCUAGGUACAUUUACGAGUGGCUGAAAGCAAAUGGGAAAAGGUUUUCAGUUGAGAAGAUAGGUCACAAUACAUCUAGUGUAAGACAAAAACUCAGCAAGAUUAUUUUAUUCAGUAAUGUUUAAUGUUGUGCCUGUAACAUUGCAGUAGUGGUUAAAAAUGUAUGGAAAUGAAAAAACUAAAUUUCAUAUUUUGUGUUUCAGUGUGUUUUUGUGUUCUCGUUUCAAUAUACUUGCUCAUGCUUAAUGUUUACAGUAUUAAUCAUUUUACAAACGAUAAAAAAGUACAUAGACAUAUGAAAGUGUUACUUGAGACAUUACAAUCAGGGUAGCUUUUAACUAAUCAUGCUAUCUUUGUACCAACUGCUAUUUUUGUUUCGAAUGGCUGGUGUCACACCUGUUUGUAUUAUUUUGUAUAAAAGUCACGUUUUUAUUACCUCUGUGAUUCAUUCAAAUGUUUUUCCACCUCCCUAAAAGCUCUUAGGCUUGUGAUUUUUCUUUAAUUGCUUUGACUGUGAAGUAAGCUUCUGACAGUGAUUUAAGUUGAACACUGCCAGACUGAUACAAACAUCUUGAUAUUUCGAAAUAAA